UCCUCGUUAGUAUAGUGGUGAGUAUCCCGCCUGUCACACGGGAGACCGGGGGUUCAAAUUCUCGACGGGAG